CCUACGGGAGGCUGCAGUGAGGAAUAUUGGUCAAUGGGCUUAAGCCUGAACCAGCCAAGUCGCGUGAGGGAAGACUGCCCUAUGGGUCGUAAACCUCUUUUGUCAGGGAGCAAAGCCGGCGACGUGUAGCCGGAUGGAGAGUACUUGAGAAAAAGACACAGCUUAAUUCCGUGCCAGCAGCCGCGGGAUUACGGAGGAUGGGAGCGUUACCAGGUUUUAGUGGGUUAAAAGGGUGCGCAGGCGGUAUGUCAAGUCAGGGGUAAAAUCCCGGGGCUCAACCCCGCUCCGCCGUUGAAACUGGCGGUCUUGAGUGGGCGAGAAGUAUGCGGAAUGCGUGGUGUAGCGGUGAAAUGCAUAGAUAUCACGCAGAACUCCGAUUGCGAAGGCAGCAUACCGGCUCCCCACUGACGCUGAGGCACGAAAGCGUGGGUAUCGAACAGGAUUAGAUACCCCUGUAGUC
rnacentral:rRNA from 1 species